CUAGUUAAACACAGGGACACAUUUGAAGUCUCGGAGCCGGGUGUUGGUUCCGGUAGCGAUCGAGGGAAAUUAGUACAGAAGUCCGGGAUGGAAGAUGGCGAGAAAAGCUGUGUGUAUUUCUGCGGUGCCCGUACCGCAAACCGACACAGGUAGGUAGGAAGAAGAUUCUAAGGCCAACGGGAGAAGGGUUGUUAAGGAACUCGGCAAAUUGACCCCGUAACUUCGGGAGAAGGGGUGCUCUAGAGAUAGAGCCGCAGAGAAUCGGCCCAAGCAACUGUUUACCAAAAACACAGGUUUGUGCUAAAUCGAAAGAUGACGUAUACGAUCUGACGCCUGCCCGGUGCUGGAAGGUUAAGAGGAGAUGUGCAAGCAUUGAAUCGAAGCCCCAGUGAACGGCGGCCGUAACUAUAACGGUCCUAAGGUAGCGAAAUUCCUUGUCAGGUAAGUUCUGACCCGCAUGAAAGGCGUAAUGAUUUGGGCACUGUCUCGACAGCCCGCCCGGCGAAAUUGUAGUACCGGUGAAGAUGCCGGUUACCCGCGACAAGACGGAAAGACCCCAUGGAGCUUUACUGUAGCCUAAUAUUGGGUUUCGAUGUUGCAUGCACAGGAUAGAUGGGACACUGGGAAGCAAGUGCUUUGGCAUUUGUGGAGUGGCCGUUGGGAUACCAUCCUUGCGAUAUUGGAAUUCUAACCUGCGCCUUUGAAUCAAGGCGGGGGACAUUGUUAGGUGGGCAGUUUGACUGGGGCGGUCGCCUCCUAAAGAGUAACGGAGGCGUUCAAAGGUUCGCUCAGCUUGAACGGAAAUCAAGCAAAAGAGUGCAAACGCAGAAGCGAGCCUAACUGCGAGACUGACGGGUCGAGCAGUAACGAAAGUUGGAGUUAGUGAUCCGGUGGUAUGUGAGUGGAAAUGCCAUCGCUCAACGGAUAAAAGUUACCCUGGGGAUAACAGGCUGAUCUCCCCCAAGAGUCCACAUCGACGGGGAGGUUUGGCACCUCGAUGUCGGCUCAUCGCAUCCUGGGGCUGUAUUCGGUCCCAAGGGUUUGGCUGUUCGCCAAUUAAAGCGGUACGCGAGCUGGGUUCAGAACGUCGUGAGACAGUUCGGUCCCUAUCUGUCGUGGGCGCAGGAUAUUUGAUGGGAGCUGUUCCUAGUACGAGAGGACCGGAGCGGACGUACCUCUGGCGCACCAGUUGUUCUGCCAAGGGCAUAGCUGGGCAACUAUGUACGGAUCGGAUAAACGCUGAAAGCAUCUAAGCGUGAAGCCGACCCAAAGAUAAGAUAUCCCAUUGUUUCAAACAAGUAAGACCCCUUGAAGACUACAAGGUUGAUAGGCAUGAUGUGUAAGUGGAGUGAUCCAUUCAGCAAGCAUGUACUAAUAGGUCGAGGGCUUGAC
rnacentral:rRNA from 1 species